rnacentral:rRNA from 1 species
GAUGAACGCUAGCGGCAGGCCUAACACAUGCAAGUCGAGGGGCAGAACGAGCUUGCCCCUGUGGGACCGCGGCACGGGUGCGUAACACGUAUGCAAUCUACCUCGUACAGGGGAAUAGACAAGACAAAUUUGGAUCAAUUCCCCAUAGCAUAUAACCUUCGCAUGUGGGUGAUAUUAAAGUUCCAACGGUACAAGAUGAGCAUGCGUCACAUUAGUUAGUUGGUAAGGUAACGCCUUACCAAGACGAUGAUGGGUAGGGGUCCUGAGAGGGAGCUCCCCCACAACGGAACUGAGGCCCGGACCAGACCGGUACGCGAGACAGGGGAAAGGAAUAUUAGGCAGUGGUCGCUAGUCUAACCCUGCCAUGCCGCGUACAGAAAGCCGGUGGUAGGGAUUGUAAACCGCUUUUAUCGAAGAGGAGACCCCCCCACGUGUUGGAGCUUGACGGUACUGGAGGAAUAAGGAUCGGCUAACUCCGUG